ACCUGGGUGGCUUAGUCGGUUGAGCGUCUGACUUCGGAUCAGGUUUGUGGGUUAGAGCCCUGUGUUGGGUU
rnacentral:tRNA from 1 species